UUGUGUUGUUUUCCCUGCAUCCUGUGUGAGAAUGUCUGUUCCCCUGGAGCUUAGGUUACAGACAGUUGUGAACGGCUAUGUGGGUGCUUGGAAUUGACCGUGGUCUUCUGGAAGAGCAGUCAGGGCUCUUAACCACUGAGCCUUCUUUCCAACCUGUUUGGUUGGUUUUGAGAUUUAGGACGAUAAGAUUUCAAAACAAAAAGAAAACCCAGUCUGGCCUUUAUCUUAUUCUGUAGCUGAGGGUAACUUUAAAUUCCUGAUACUCCUGGCUUUGCAUAUAAAUAUUGGGAUCAUAAGCAUAUGCCACCAUUGAGGUCUCUUGCUAAAUAUUGCAGGCUGGACCUGAACUUAAGAACUGCCUGACUUUGUCCAUCAAGUGCUAGGAUUAGCUAUGUGUGGCACCACGCCUGUGUAUAAUUGUAGCCUUACAGUUAGAGCAGUGUGUUGGAAUGAAUGCUUCAUGGUUGAAAAGCCACGACCGGGAAAUCUGCUUUCAAGUACUGAGGUGGCACGGUGGAUGGGGUGUAAAUGAAAUGAGACUAGCCAUGAAUAGUCAUUAAGGCUGUUAGAUGUGUGGAACCGAGGUGCAGGACCACGGAGCACACAUCAGGAAAAACAGUCGAGACAGCAGCAGCAGUACAGGCAGCAGCAGUACAGCAGCAGCAGUACAGGCAGCAGACAGCAGCAGCAGUACAGCAGCAGCAGUACAGGCAGCAGCAGUACAGUAGCAGCAGUACAGGCAGCAGCAGUACAGGUAGAGGUGGCUUUUGGAUUAUGAGUUUCUUUAACUGCCAAGUGCAGACAGAGGUUAGGUUUCAGAUGUCUAUGAGACUGAAGUUCUGGGAUGGGGAAUUCUGGAACAGUCAUAAGGAUGGAAGAGGAAGGCUGAACCAAGGAGACUCCCUGUCACAUUUUAGCAAGGUCAACGCUGUUUUUAAGUUUUGUUAAACUUGGCUUGAUGGUAAAAUUUUCAUUUAUAAGCAUGACUGUAGACAAUUUAAAUUUUUUGUUUAUGGCUAUUGGAUCAUUCGGAUACUUUAAAUGGAGCACAUUGUAGUAGAGGGUAGACAACGUGGGGAAAUUGGCCACCAUGCUAGCGCAGUCUUUGGCCCAGCAGGUGCAUUUGCACAUACUAAUUUGUUUCUAGGAAGGACAGAAGGGAGGCAUGGAAAUCUCAUGUAUCACACACCAAAGCCAGUCCCUCUGCGCAGCUGGAUUAUAUGGGCUGCAACGUGGCUCUCUCCUGCUCUUACCAGAGCGCCUGGAUUCAUAGCCCUUUUCCUGUGCACAAUCAAGUUGGAAGGCAGGGAAUGAUGCCAUAAUUGCUCCUCUUUUAACCAUGGCUGCUUCUUAUCCAUAUCACCCCUUUUAAUACCACUGUACCUUUAAGAAAGGUAUCAAUUGACAAUUUCCAUACCUGAAUACAGUGUUACCUUGGUAAUGUUUACCACCGUACCUCUUUCCAUCUCCCCCAACCCACUGUACCUUAUAGCUGUUUAAAUUCCAGACUACAAGACUCUGCAGUUGCCAUCUUUUCCUUCUUUUCUUCAAACUUGAAAUCUUUCUAUAUUGGAAAAGCCAUUGACGUGUUAAUCUCUCCU
rnacentral:lncRNA from 1 species